rnacentral:rRNA from 1 species
AGCCUCAGGUAGUAUAUCUGAGGUGUACCCUGCCCAGCGUAUGUGCUAUAACACUAUUAACGGCCGCAGUACACUGACUGUGCUAAGGUAGCAUAAUAACUUGGCCUUUAAUUGGGGUCUGGCAUGAAUGGAGCUUUGGGGUGAAUCUAUAAUUUUAGGUGUUCCCUGAAAUUACUUAAAUAGUGAAAAUUCUAUUAAUAUUUAUAAAUAAGACGAGAAGACCCUAAGAAUUUAGCUUAAUAUGAUUCUUUAAAUGAAUACUGUAGUUUUGUUGGGGCGACAACUUACCAAUGCUCAGAUUUGCAAAACGUAAAUAAAUUAGUAUGCGACAAGAAUUUAAGUUAAAGGAAUGAAAAAAUUACCUUAGGGAUAACAGCAUAAUUUUUGAUAAAGAUUGUGACCUCGAUGUUGGACUAGGAACCUUAAGACCAAGAGUCUCUUUGGGAAUUUAUUCUGUUCGAAUAGUUGUAUCCU